GGCUCUGUGGCGCAAUGGAUAGCGCAUUGGACUUCUAGAGACGAAAGAGCAAUUCAAAGGUUGUGGGUUCGAAUCCCACCAGAGUCG
rnacentral:tRNA from 1 species